AUGAAUAUGUUGUCAAUUAUCAGAUAUCUACAAAUGAAAAAUCGCGAGCCGCGAUCAUCAUGAUUCUUAACUUGUGAUAGGCUUUUCUGCGUUAGGUAUGUUGUGUGUUUGUUUUACUCUUUGUACAGUAGUUAUUGUUCAUUCUAAAUGCAUUUUUAAUGUAUAAUAUGUUACAUAAAUACAUGAAAUGUAGAACAUAAAAAGUGCUCGGGUGACCCACCCCUCCCCCUCCAACCUCCGCCUAUGUGUGCCUUGAACUUUAUGGUGAUUAAUAGCAGCGAAAGUGAAAGUAUUUCUUGGGUGGAGCUCGCUUUGCAAGAUAGGUUUAAAAGCCUAUCUGCUGUAGGGGCAUUCUUGCUGUGUGGAUUGCUCGGAAGAAUUGGCUGUGAAUUUCACCUCUGUGAAGGAAAUAGAGCACUUCACCUCUUGAUCUAUUAUCCUAAUUCUUCCUGCAUCUCGUGCUUGGAAGCUUGGUUUGAAGAAAGAUGGCUACAUUUGAAGAUUAUUGUGUAAUAACCCAGGAGGACUUGGAGGAUAUUAAAGAUUCCAUAUCAACCCAGGAUCUCCCAUCAGCGGUAAAAACGAUCAAGGAAUACCUCAGACAGCAGGAUCUUGUAGAACUAAAC
ensembl:lncRNA